GUUCAUUGCCUUGUAUCUGUUCUGCUUUUUACUGUGUUGUGAAUUCUUAGGACGACCUGAGGAAGGAGGAUUUCAGCAGCAUGAGCGCUCAGUUGUUAUACAAAAUGAUCAAAUCCAAGACGGAGUACCCGUUACAUAAAGCCAUUAAAGUGGAGAGAGAAGACGUGGUCUUCCUGUAUCUGAUUGAAAUGGAUUCCCAGCUCCCUGGGAAGCUGAAUGAAGCGGAUCAUAACGGAGAUCUGGCAUUAGAUCUAGCCCUUUCACGACGACUGGAGAGUAUUGCCACCACGCUGGUUAGUCACAAAGCUGACGUGGACAUGGUUGACAAGAGUGGCUGGAGCUUGUUACACAAAGGAAUCCAAAGAGGAGAUCUCUUUGCUGCCACUUUCCUCAUUAAGAAUGGGGCCUUGGUCAAUGCUGCUACACUGGGUGCCCAGGAGACACCAUUGCACCUUGUGGCCUUGUACAGUUCAAAGAAACACUCAGCAGAUGUGAUGUCUGAGAUGGCGCAGAUUGCAGAGGCCCUUCUGCAGGCCGGUGCCAACCCCAACAUGCGGGACAGCAAGGGGAGGACUCCUUUACACGUGU
rnacentral:sRNA from 1 species